UUUCCUGGAAUAAACCCGUCUUUUUUAAGCUGCAGAGAACCCUUGAGGAGGGAACCCGCGGGUGUGCAAUAAAGCUCGAGAGUGAAGGGAAGUAGUGUACUGAAACUGUGUACCAGCUGAACUUGAUUCAUUUCAAGCCCAUGGCUGUGUUGCUCACUCAGCGUCUUCAGGUGGGGGAAAGCAGCUAGGAGAAAUGGCUGGGAAGUAGCAGCCUGGUAGCAGUGAAGGAAUUGAACAGUGAAGGGAGUGAUGCAGUAAGAGCAUGGCUGUGUGAGCAGAACACAUGGCAUAGGACAUCACAGCUUCCAAGCUCAUGCAGGGAUGUCCUGGUAUGGUUCCAUGUGAUUGCUCUACAAAGGUAUGCUUUGUAAUGGAGUGAGAACAAUUCUGGAGACUUCUACAUUGAAGCCAUCUGAAAACUAUUUUGAAGCUAUUGCAUAUUUUACAGCUACACCACUGGCAGGAAGUAUUCAUGUUAGUCAUUGAUCUUCUUUUCCCAAUACAGGUGGUAAGUAUGAUCAUUUAUUUUUCUUGAUCUGCAUCUCAUUUCAGUGUUAGUUUUGAACACAUUCAGCUAAAUUUUUCUCUACUUUGGAUAUCACCCUUGAGACGUCAUCUUUGUGAUCCACACUGAAUGAAAAUCAGCUAGAAAGCUUCCAAGCAGGUAUCUUUAUUAUAGAGAGGUUUAUAUAUUAUAUUAAGUUGGACUAUAGCAAAACAUAAAUGUACUUUAAUUACAUUAAUAAUUUAAAUAUUUGAUUUAAAUAAAGCACCAAGAGAACUUGA